rnacentral:rRNA from 1 species
GAAAUCAUAGAGUUUCUUAAAACUCAUGAUGUCGUAAGGGAAAAUAAUGAUAAUACCUUACUAAUAGUGUCGUCCAAAUCUGGUGCCAGAAGACUCGGUAAGACCAGAGACGCAAACGUUAAUCAUCAUAACCAGGCGUAAAGGGUUUGUAGGCCGUUCUGAAUUGAAGGGAGAUUAAAUUACUAUUAAUUAAAGCUAGAUGCAAAUAGAGGAUAUUUACGAAAUAAUGCUUGGUUGAGGGCUGAUAUCCGAGGACACCAAGUGGAGUACCAAUGGCGUAAGCAUUUAUCCAUUAAUGAUUGACGCUGAGAAACGAAGGUGAGGAUAGGAAAUAGGAUUAGAUACCCAGUAACCCCUCUCUGUCAACGAUGAAUGGUAUUUGUUAGUCUAAACGACUAGUGACGAAGUUAACACGUUAACCAUUUCGCCUUGUGAGUACGACUGCAAAGUUGAAAACAAAAAAAUUAGUCGGUCUCGGAGCAAACGAAGUGAAGCA